GAUUGACCUGAUUACUUGUGCAUUCUGUACAGGAAAAAAACCAAUGAGGAAACUACAUGCACUGGAGUUACCAUGGAAUGCAAGAAAGCCAAGCCUGCUGAAGAACCUCAGUGAUUCUGCACAACACAAUUAAUAGCACAAUGCAGAUUUUUCAUCCUCAGAUGCCUCUCUGCCCUGAAACUACUGGGAAGACCAGGGUCUUGGAUGAGCUAAGUCUCAACAGAAAUAUCACAGCUGGCUGAACAUACUGCAAGAUCCAUGCUAACUAGAACUGUCUCAACACCGCGUAGGCUGUGCACUGCGCACGUCCAGGGCCAGUACUAGUGCUGACAGUGAUGCUUCUUCAAGACUUUUCCUGAAACAGUCUGGAUUUUUUAGCUGAAGUAUUUUAUUAGGUAGCAGUAAUAUAAUGGGGCUGGCUGGCUUUUGCCUGUGCUGAUUAACCAGAACACUUCAAGUAACCUGGCCGUUCCCCACCAGAACCAGAGCUUUCUUCUCUUUUUCUUUCUAAGGUUGAGCAGUGAAGUUACUCAAAAGUUUUGGGGCUUUUUUUGCAUCUUCAACACAGAAUUGAAGAACAGAGCUGAAGAACAAAUUGAAGUACGUAUUACACUGUUUGACUUGGGAGAUGUUCUGCAGGCUAAGCUGAUCCACUGUGUGAUCUGUCUUCAGUCCAGUUCCACUGCAGCAUAAUUGAACUCUGUUCCUCUCGUUUUCUGGAGGAAAAGUAAAAUGAGUAGAUUGUUUUGCUCUUGUUGCUUGGAUGUAUUUCAGUUGAUAAAAUUAAACCUUUGUGUUGAAAAAUUUAAUUCUCUGUAACAUUAACUUGUGAAUUGUGAAACCUAUGCAAGGAAGCUCAGUAUUUGCAGCUCUUGGGAUUACCUGGUCAUACAGUAAUUCUUACAGUCCAGGGCAAUGAGAGUGCAAUGGAAAAAUGACUACAGCAAGAAAACCAGACCUUAGUUUGCUGGAAAUUGCCAUAGAGAUCUGGAUUUAAAUUGAGCUCCUCCUGAAUUUACAUCACGUGACAGAAUGACCCAAGUGCUACUCACUUGAGUCACCAGGGACAAAGGCAAUGGAUUUAAUGAUGGACUCAGCUCAACAGAGAUUUUGCAAAGUUUUGUAGUAAGUUGGUGGUGUUUCUUCCAAGUCUUGUAUCAGGUUCUGGAAAAUGCCCAAGGCCUGGGAAGCACUUUCUUACUUGCGUGUGGUAUCUUAUUAAGGUGGUACCUAUCAUCUUAUUUAGACAUUUUAGAUUAGAUUUACAACUUUGGUAUUACAGAAGGGAUGACUGUUCAUUAAAUAUGAAGAGAGGGCUUCGGUGGAUCGAUGUUUAUUGCACAGGGUCCCUGGUGGGCACACUCAGGCAGCGCUCUGCCAGCACCCACGCGUGCACACAGUCUCACCUUCGCAGGUGGUUGUGAACAGCCGCUCACACGCACAGUCUGUGCACGAACCGGAGACAGAGGGGCGAGAGGGGCUUCUGUGUGCAGCUCCAAGGUGUUUAAUGAAACCAACACACUGCAAGGAAGCAAGGACAAAGAACCCCCCCAAAAAAGCGCGUGUGGUUUUAAUCUGAAGGGUCCCAGAGGCGGGCAGAGCAUCAGAAGCCAAUGGUCUGAGGGCUAGGGGGCAGAGGCAAGGGCGAGUGACACAACAGGAGCCAAUGGGAGAAGGGAUGGGAGGGGGGAGAGAGACAGUGACCCGGGGAAUCUCGGUAAAGGGAGAACUUUCUAGCACAGUGGUUUAGGGAGAGACCGCUUACAAAGCAACAUGGGGGGUGUAAAGUGGAUUUUGCCACCGCAACAAUUAAAUCCUGGUCCAAACAAGCAAAGGUAUCCCAGAGAUGACAAGCAUGUGGGAACAGAGUUUAAAUUUUUCUAACUACAAACUACAGGCGCGUUGAAGAACUGAUGGCAGCUUUCAAACCAGCUGGUUUAACUGGUAUGGUGGUUAGCCUACAAAGCCUCCAGGAGCUGCCCCAUGGAGAGCUGCUCUGGAGCCAGCUGUGGCUUGUCUCUGCUUCAUCCAGACCUCUACUGAGUUCUUGCAGGAAAAAAAAUGUAUUUAUCUACCUGGCUUUGAGGGACUCACUGACCACGCUGCCCAUGGGUGACUGUUUCCUGCCAAAGACUGGUCACGAAAAUGCAUAGAGGAGCCAAGCUGGACUGACAGUUUAUCUUUGCAGCUGGUAUAAUUUCAAUAUACAGAAACAACCAUUCAGAGAGAGAUUGUUCUUCAAUACGAGAAGCACUCUGAACAUCUCAAAAUUAAAGCCUAGAAAUGAAGGCAAAUUCAGAGGAUGUGUUUGAGGGCUCUCCUGCAAUGGACUAAAUCACACGGAGCAAAAAAGAAGGGACAUUUGAAUAUAAUUUUAUUUUGCCAUUGAACAGUGUUAGGGACCUUUUUUGUAGAUAGACAAAUGCUUGUCAUUACUUUGUGCUCAAAGGCAACAUUGAAAGUGACCUGGAACAGGCAGGAACUGACUUUUUUCUACUAAUAUGAUAUGAAAGUUUUAUCGUAUUAGGAAUUUUCUGUCAUGGUGGAUUAGUAUCAGGUCAUAUUAACGUUCGUUUUUACUAACUUACAAUGAAAUGUGCUAACGUGACUACACUUCACUAUCACAUGAGAAAAAAAGCAGAAUUAUUUUAUAUUAAUGUGAUACCAUAGAAAGAUUUCAAUACCUCUGUCCCAUGGCAAGUAGGAAGAAGUUAAAAAUAAAAUAAAAUAUAAUGGCUUGGGACAAGGAGUUUUUUUCCCAGGGAUGAAACUCCUUCCCUCACCCUCCCCAUCCCCAACAUCAUGUCUAUAUUUGUUUAAUGGUUUCUGGAUUUUUGAAGUGAUUAAUUUUGAAGCACUUUGGGCUUGAUUUCAUAAUUAUGGUUGUUCUCCCAUUUCUAACUAGAAGUCAUUGGGAGCAGCAAAUACUGGAUACCUAUACAAAACAACCCAGGAUGUUCCAGGCUGAUUAUUCCUUUACUUUCAACAAAGCAAGUGUUGACUUCUCAAAAUGUU